rnacentral:lncRNA from 1 species
CUCCUGGCCACUGGUGUCCAGGUGACCAGGGUGCCUUUCUCUGCCCACCUGGCACCUUUCGGUCAGAGCCGGGGGCAUCAGCACAGGAAGACUGUGAGCUCUGCCCUCCCGGCUACCGCUGCCCAGACCCUGAGCUUCAGGGCCGUGCAAAUGUGUUUCCCAUCCCCUGCCGAGCCGGAUCUGAGUGCCCAGCAGCUGUGUCUUUCCCCAUUACUGCCCCCCGGGCAGCGCCCAACCUCGUGCCUGCCCUGGGGGCUCCGAAGCCCCGAAUGGGACCGGCCUCAGGGUCUCUGAGGAGACGUGCUGCCGCCUCUGUGAAGCGGGCACCUACCGCAGCCGGACCCUGGAUGCCCUACCCUGCCAGCCCUGCCCGCCUGGAUUCAGCUGCCCCCGGGGGUCAGAGAGCUACCAGGGCCAUCCCUGCCCGGUGGGCCACUACUGCCCUGCAGGGACUCACAGCCCAAGGCCCUGCCCAGCAGGGACCUUCAGGAGCAGCAGCGGGGCCAGGGCAGCUGAAGAGUGCCAGCUGUGCCCUGUGGACACCUUCAAUGCCCUGCCCGGACAGGUGGGCUGCCUCACCUGCGGGAGCAUCGCUUUCUCUCCACCAGGUGCCUCCACCUGCACAUGUCGGGGCCUGA